rnacentral:rRNA from 1 species
ACCGGCGCAAGGGUGCGUAACGCGUGAGCAACAUGCCCGUAUCAGGGGGAUAAUCCAGGGAAACUUGGUCUAAUACCCCAUAGUAAUCUUGGAAGGCAUCUUUUAAGAUUUAAAGCUUCGGUGGAUACGGAUUGGCUCGCGUGACAUUAGUUAGAUGGUAAGGUAACGGCUUACCAUGACUAUGAUGUCUAGGGGUUCUGAGAGGAAGGUCCCCCACACUGGAACUGAGACACGGUCCAGACUCCUACGGGAGGCAGCAGUGAGGAAUAUUGGACAAUGGAUGGAAAUCUGAUCCAGCCAUGCCGCGUGCAGGAUGAAGGUCCUAUGGAUUGUAAACUGCUUUUGUAUGGGAGCAAUAAGGUCUUCGUGAAGGCCGAUGAGAGUACCAUACGAAUAAGCACCGGCUAACUCCGUGCCAGCAGCCGCGGUAAUACGGAGGGUGCAAGCGUUAUCCGGAUUUAUUGGGUUUAAAGGGUGCGUAGGCGGUGAUAUAAGUCAGCGGUGAAAGUUUUCAGCUCAACUGGAAAAAUGCCGUUGAUACUGUAUCGCUGGAAUAUGGUUGCUGUGAGUGGAAUGUGUAGUGUAGCGGUGAAAUGCUUAGAGAUUACACAGAAUAUCGAUUGCGAAGGCAGCUCACAAAGCCAUUAUUGACGCUGAGGCACGAAAGUGUGGG